rnacentral:rRNA from 1 species
CCUACGGGGGACAGCAGUGGGGAAUAUUGCACAAUGGGGGAAACCCUGAUGCAGCGACGCCGCGUGAGUGAAGAAGUAUUUCGGUAUGUAAAGCUCUAUCAGCAGGGAAGAAGAAAGACGGUACCUGACUCAGAAUCCCCGGCUAACUACGUGCCAACAGCCGCGGUAAUACGUAGGGGGCAAGCGUUAUCCGGAUUUACUGGGUGUAAAGGGAGCGUAGACGGCUGUGCAAGUCUGAAGUGAAAGCCCAGGGCUCAACCCUGGGACUGCUUUGGAUACUGUGGAGCUAGAGUGCUGGAGAGGUAAGUAGAAUUCCUAGUGUAGCGGUGAAAUGCGUAGAUAUUAGGAGGAAUACCAGUGGCGAAGGCGGCUUAUUGGAAAGGAACUGACGCUGAGGCUCGAAAGCGUGGGGAGCAAACAGGAUUAGAUACCCGGGUAGUC